UCCUCGUUUAAGCGAGGCAGUCUGUCCAGAAUGCUCCGAGCUCUCGCUCAAGUGGCAACAAAACACAAGGGUUGCGCUCGUUGCGGAACUUAACCCAACAUCUCACGACACAAGCUGACGACAGCCAUGCAGCACCUGUGUUACGGCUCCCUUUCGGGCACCCCUGCAUCUCUGCAGGGUUCCGUACAUGUCAAGGGUAGGUAAGGUUUUUCGCGUUGCGUCGAAUUGAACCACAUCAUCCACCGCUUGUGCGGGCCCCCGUCAAUUCCUUUGAGUUUUAAUCUUGCGACCGUACUCCCCAGGCGGAUGACUUCUCGCGUUAGCUGCGUUACUAAAGGAUUUAACUCCUCCAACAACUAGUCAUCAUCGUUUAGGGCGUGGACUAC
rnacentral:misc_RNA from 1 species